UGAAUUUUAUUUUAAACUAUGUUUUGCCCAUGCUGUUUUACUUAAAUUACAAUUAAAUCGCCACCACAACCCUAUUUCUCUAACCAGACUGUUUCAUUACCCCAAGUCCCCAAUUGGUUUCAGAGAGGAACUUUGCGGUCAAAUCCCUCAUCUCCAAAAACUCAAGAACAAUAUUAUCUGAUUUCUCCCUCGUAAUCUUGAUAGCAUCUCAGAAUUGAAAAAGGUUGAUGGCCUGACAAAUGAAGAAGUGAAGAGUUUCAUCUACUAACGGAAACCUACUUACUAUUAUGACAGAGAGUUUCAAGUCCACAGCCUCACCUUGUACAUCAACUCCACAGCCUCACUUUGUACCAUCUACAAAUCGUCCAAUUGUUUGUGGCAUUAUACUGAAUAGAUUCUAGGAAUAUGUAUAGGCAGCCCAUGUAUAAUUAGUGAUGAAUAAUAUCUUUCUGUAAGAAGAAUAUGAGUACUCAUUUGUGCAAAAGUACACAAGUAUAUACAACUUCCAUUAGAGAAGAGAUUGAAUACUAGCUCUUUAGAAUAUGAUCGA